rnacentral:rRNA from 1 species
AGAACGAACGUUAGCGGCGGGCCUAACACAUGCAAGUCGAGCGAGAAAGUGGCUUCGGCCACGAGUAAAGCGGCGGACGGGUGAGUAACACGUAGGUAAUCUUCCCUUGAGCGGGGGACAACGAGCCGAAAGGCUCGCUAAUACCGCAUACGUUUCCAGAGGCCCCGGUCUCUGGAAGGAAAGCUAGGUAGCAAUAUCUGGCACUCGAGGAGGAGCCUGCGUCGCAUCAGCUAGUUGGUGGGGUAACGGCCUACCAAGGCGAAGACGCGUAGCUGGUCUGAGAGGAUGAUCAGCCACACUGGGACUGAGACACGGCCCAGACUCCUACGGGAGGCAGCAGUGGGGAAUAUUGGACAAUGGGCGCAAGCCUGAUCCAGCCACGCCGCGUGAGUGAUGAAGGCCUUCGGGUCGUAAAGCUCUGUGGGGAGGGACGAACCGCUGCAGGUUAAUACCCUGCAGCAUGACGGUACCUCCUUAGCAAGCACCGGCUAACUUCGUGCCAGCAGCCGCGGUAA